GUUUCUUUCAUCAUACGUACUAGUAUGACGUCACAACACGGUUUAUUCUACGCUGACGUUUUAGUCGUUUUUUUUCAUGGGGCCCCAUUCGCGUUUUUGCGUCGACCGCGAGUCGAUUUCUAUUUGCGGCGGUAAAUACGCGUGAAGAAAUAAGAUCAAAGAAUAGGUGAGUAAGAAUGUAUUGUUAAUCACAUUAUGCAUUGUUACGUAUACCGGUUGUUUUAGAUUACGUGUGACGUCACGAAGCAGUGAUGACGUAACAGAAGAAUCUGCUUCAACAUGGGUAUGUGACGUCACAGAGGAUCAUGCAUGCAUCGCUCGCGUAUAACAAGAUGGGACAAUACGAGAAAAAAAGCGCAAGACGAAGAACAAAGACGAAGACGCCAAUAUAAGGAUCCCGGUUUGAGGUGUUUGUAGGUUUAAGUGUGUAUAGGUUUAUUUACAGGUGUACACGCGAAGAAAGAAGAUCAAAGGUGAGUAAGAAUGUUAAAUAAGUCACAGUAUGCAUUGUUACGUAUACCAUUCGUUUUAGAUGAAGUAGAAGAUGACGAAGCAGUGAUGACGUAACAGAAGAACCUGCUUCGUAAGUUGGUUUACGUCAUAAUGUGUAUUAUUUUAUGCGUUUUAUUAUACAGAACAUUGGUGUGUGACGUCACAGAGGAAUAUGCACCUGGGCGAUUGUUACAGACGACGAUACGGA